rnacentral:rRNA from 1 species
GACGAACGCUGGCGGCGUGCUUAACACAUGCAAGUCGAACGGAAAGGCCCUGCUUUUGUGGGGUGCUCGAGUGGCGAACGGGUGAGUAACACGUGAGUAACCUGCCCUUGACUUUGGGAUAACUUCAGGAAACUGGGGCUAAUACCGGAUAGGAGCUCCUGCUGCAUGGUGGGGGUUGGAAAGUUUCGGCGGUUGGGGAUGGACUCGCGGCUUAUCCGCUUGUUGGUGGGGUAGUGGCUUACGAAGGCUGUGACGGGUAGCCGGCCUGGGAGGGUGACCGGCGACAUUGGGACUGCGAUACGGCCCAGACUCCUACGUGAGGCAGCAGUGGAGAAUAUUGCGCAAUGGGCUGAAGCCUGAUGCAGCAGCGCCGCGUGCGGGAUGACGGCCUUCGGGUUGUAAACCGCUUUCGCCUGUGACGAAGCGUGAGUGACGGUAAUGGGUAAAGAAGCACCGGCUAACUACGUG